AUUUCAGCAUGUCCGCAUGGAGAGCUGUGUGUGUUUCUAUAUUUCAGCGUGUCUGCAUAGAGGCCUGUGGGUGUCUUCAUAUUUCAGUGUGUCUGCAUAGAGGGCCGAGCUCCGUAUGUCAGCGUGUCUGCAUAGAGGCCUGUGGGUGUCUUCAUAUUUCAGUGUGUCUGCAUAGAGGGCUGAGCUCCGUAUGUCAGCGUGUCUGCAUAGAGGCUGUGUGUGUCCCCUUAAUCUUUGUUACUCUAGUUUUCAGAUAUUGUCUGGAACUGGAGAAGCCCCACAUUUUAUGAUGGAUAAAUAAAUAAAGGUUAAACGCAGGGCUGCGGAGCUCCAUUGCCUUCCUCGUAAUUCUGCGAGACUCUGCGAUAUACUUUUCAGGGAGCAUCACAUUAGCUGUCACACACUGAGUGUCAACCAAAGCCACGCAAGGUGGCCUAAAAUUAACGAGCUCGUUGUGGAGGAGCCUCCACUAACGAAGUCAACAAAUGCAAACUGGUUUGGUAACCUUCUGUAAAGAAAAGAUCCAUCAUUGGUUAAUACUUAUUGUAUAGAUUAUGGCAAAAUUUAAAAAAUAAACAGUAUUUACUGAAAUUUUA
rnacentral:misc_RNA from 1 species